CGACGAGUCGAGUAGUUUGGGAAUGCUGCUCAAAAUGGGAGGUAUAUUUCUUCUAAAGCUAAAUACUGGCCAGAGACCGAUAGCGCACAAGUAGAGUGAUCGAAAGAUGAAAAGCACUUUGAAAAGAGGGUUAAAUAGCACGUGAAAUUGUUGAAAGGGAAGGAUUUAUGACCAGACUUUUUCUAGGGGGAUCAUCCGGUGUUCUCACCGGUGCACUUCCCCUAGUUGAGGCCAGCAUCGGUUUCUGUCGGGGGAUAAAAGCUUCAGGAAUGUGGCUCCCUUCGGGGAGUGUUAUAGCCUGUUGCAUAAUACCCUGACGGGGACCGAGGUUCGCGCAUUGCAAGGAUGCUGGCGUAAUGGUUAUUAAUCACCCGUCUUGAAACACGGACCAAGGAGUCGAACAUUUGUGCGAGUGUUUGGGUGUUAAACCCUCACGCGUAAUGAAAGUGAACGGAGGUGAGAGCCUUUCGGGGUGCAUCAUCGACCGAUCCUGAUGUCUUCGGAUGGAUUUGAGUAAGAGCAUAACUGUUCGGACCCGAAAGAUGGUGAACUAUGCGUGGAUAGGGUGAAGCCAGAGGAAACUCUGGUGGAGGCUCGCAGCGGUUCUGACGUGCAAAUCGAUCGUCAAAUCUGCGCAUGGGGGCGAAAGACUAAUCGAACCAUUGACCAGCGGUCAAAACAAUCACUAGGUGGUUAAGAGGGGGCCCGCGAGGGCCAUGAAGAAAAACCUAGGCUGUGCCCGGUUACCCUGUAGCUACCCUGUAGCUACCCGGUAGCCGAGCCGGCCGACACCGCUAAAAUGCGGGGACAUCCCUUUACAGGGCCAAAGGCUACCGCCACGCGCUGAAAAGCGUGCUGGCACCGAGAAUAGUGCUCUCGGGUAUGGUAACAACGCCGG
rnacentral:rRNA from 1 species